rnacentral:rRNA from 1 species
CCGUGAAGAAAAGUUGAAAAGUACUUUGAAGAGUUAACGAGUACGUGAAACCGUUCAGAGGUAAACCUAAGAAACCCAAAAAAUCGAACGGGGAGAUUCAUCGUCAACGAAACUGGCUUCGCGUCGGUGGGCGAUAACCCCGCGGUGUGUCCUAAGCGGCACGCGCGUGCGGGCACGCUACCGAACGCCGAUGUCCGGUUUUCGUCGUCGUGCACUUCUCUCCUAGUAGAACGUCGCGACUCGCUGUGUGUCGGUCACCGACCCGGGUGCGGUUACUGUCACGUCGCCCGUAAAAACGGCGCGCGGCAAACACCCCCGGUCGCCCGACCAGCUGCCCGGCGGUAC